UAAUACGGAGGGUGCAAGCGUUAUCCGGAUUUACUGGGUUUAAAGGGUGCGCAGGCGGAUAUGUAAGUCAGUGGUGAAAUCUCCGGGCUUAACCCGGAAACUGCCGUUGAUACUAUAUAUCUUGAAUGCUGUGGAGGUAAGCAGAAUAUGUCAUGUAGCGGUGAAAUGCUUAGAUAUGACAUAGAAUACCUAUUGCGAAGGCAGCUUACUACACAGAUAUUGACGCUCAUGCACGAAAGCGUGGGGAUCAAACAGGAUUAGAUACCCUGGUAGUCCACGCCCUAAACGAUGAUUACUCGACAUACGCGAUACACUGUGUGUGUCUGAGCGAAAGCAUUAAGUAAUCCACCUGGGAAGUACGAUCGCAAGAUUG
rnacentral:rRNA from 1 species